CCGACUAUUUGCAAAUUGAUCCUAAUGCUGUCGAAACAUAACUUUCUUAAAUGAACCAGCUAAUUAUUAUUAUUAUUAUUAUUAUUAUUAUUAUUAUUAUUAUUAGCUUUGUAAAAGUCACUGAAAACUUGAAGCUAAGGAUGAGACGAGAGAAUGAACCCAAUACAGAUGCAGAAACACUUUGUCCAGCUUGAUUUCCGGUGGGCGCGCGGACAGGCACGCGGAGCUCUAUUUGAGCGCGCAUAACGGAAGCACCACUGACAGCUCAGAGGCACGAGCUGCGUCCUAAACGCAUAACACAGUCAUGAGUUCAUGUGACCCGUCUGGUGUUAAAUUGGGCCUGAGGCAAAAAAGCAAAAAACGGACCAUACAAUGUUACCAAACACCUGACAAGAUUUCCCAUAGUGGACGGCGCUACAAAGCCACCGAGAAGACGACGCAAAACUCAAAUACAAGGUCAAAGACAUCCCUGACGACUUCUGUGUACAAAACGUUCGUAUCUGCAGCUAUCCCAGAUGGGUUCAAUGGCAUUUGAAACUUGAUGCGACCAAGGCUUCUGAAGGAGUUCGUGACCUGAAAGAGGAGACGAAAUCAUGGCCAUGUUUUAGACAGGAUCAUUCCGCAGCACACAUCGAGAGCUCAGGGCUCCUGCUUGAAGCCUGACCUUGGCUGCAGCAUGAUUGCUGAUAGCAGAUCUAAGAUAUGUAGACUUGUGUUAUUGUUGACAUUCCGGCAGCAGACUGAACAGUAUAUGUUUUACUCUGAAAACGAGCACGUUUUUGAAAAGUCGACACUCGCACAUGUGGCUUAAUUUCGGUUUUUUUUCCUUUAAACGGUUCGAGUCAGAGAACGUUUUCAGUCAAUAGCGAGAUAAAAGACUGUAAUAUGUGACUCUGUUACUCGAAUCUUAAUAGAGCUGCCUCAGAGUCAUGUGUGCAUUUUGAAUCUUGGACUAUAUCUCAAGAGCUGCCUCAGAGUCAUAUGUUUAAUUUAAAAUCAAUCUUUUAUAUGACUUAAAAACUGCUUCACAGUCAUUUGUUCAUUUUUUAUAUGACUCAAAAGCUGCCUCCGAGUCAUUUGUUAAUUUUGAGCAAAUAUUUUAUGUGACUCGAGAGCUGUCUCGAAGAUUGCUUUAUUCAUUUUCAAUAAAUCUGUAAUAUGGCUUGAGAGCUGCCUCUGAGUCAUUUGUUGAUUCUGAAUUAAUCUGUAAUAUGACUCAAAAGCUGCCUCAGUGUAAUUAGUUAUUUUUGAAUAAAUUCUUUAUAUGACUCAAGAGCUGCCUUACUGUCUAAUUUAAAUCAGUCUUUUAUAUGACUUGAAAUCUGCCUCAGUUAUUUGUGCAUUUUGAAUUAAUCUUUUCUAUGACUCAAGAACUGCCUCAGAGGGUGAUUUGUUCAUUUUGAAGGAGUCGUUUAUGAUUCGAGAGCUGCCAGAGUCAUUUUGUCCAUUGCGAAUCAAUCUUUUAUGUGAUUCG